rnacentral:lncRNA from 1 species
UUCUUGCUACUUAUAGAAAUUAAAGAUUUUUGUAGGUUUUAUGUUCAAUUUAUUUCAUCUAUUUAUUUGACCUUUUACUAAAGUUUAGCGUUGAAUUCAUUACAUCAGACAUUUACAUUGCAGCAUUCUGUUCUAAAUGUGUGCCAAGUAAAUCUCUUGUUUAAUUUGCAUGCACCCAAUAUUCUGCUCUUGCAGCCAUGCUCUCAGGUAAGUGAGUUUGCUUUGAGAGAAUUGACCUAAUGCGUGUGAAGGGGAAAGAGGAAGCAUUUGCCCAGUUAUGCAAGUCCUUUAUUUUUCUCUUACGAACAUGCAAUUUAAUUCCUUAAAAUUGCUGGUGUAAGUUAAACCUCUGAAGAUGUCUUUAAUUUACAAGUGAAAAAAUGGGUAAAACUGUAAGUAUGCUUCCUCCUCAGUGCUCCCUAGUGUAUCCUGUCUCUUCAUUCAAAGUCCCCACCCAAACAUAAGUUAAAAAAUUAUUUUUUCUUAAAAUAAUCUGAAGUACCAACAGAUCAGUGCUGUGCUUAACUUUGGAUCCAUAACCAGGUCCAGACCUUGAACACAGUUAUGUUAGUAAUUGCCAUUGAUAAACUGGUGGUAGUGUCUGAGGCCCAAGGAUGUACUGUAGCGUACCUAUCUCAUCCAAUAAUUCUUGCUUAAACCCAUGUCUUACAUAGAUAUUUUAAAAGAUAUAAAGCCAUAUUGUCAAGGUACUUAUUUUUAUAAAAUGUCAAAAUUGUUAUUUAUUAUUUUGUUUUCACUAUAUGUUUAGUUUAUCAAAAAGUAUCCUUCUACACUGACGAUUGAACAAAAGCAUAAAACCUAAGUUUACAAGAUUUGGAGUUUGACAAAAAUAAACCAUGCCUGAUACCCUAGCAAGGCAAUGAAGGUUGUACUAAUUUGCUUUAAAUGUAAGGCUUUUAAAUGAUCAUGCUAUGUUAAAAUUAGGUUAGUGUUCAAGUACUGGUUUAGAAAUUGAUGGGAGAUGGCAACACUCAUCUGUAAGGUAGACUCAAUUCAGCCCAAAUUGAUGACAUUCGAAAAUUGUAAUUUGAAGCCUGUGGAGAUGAGUUCAGAGGCGUCUUGGCAUCACAGGGCAGAGAAGAUUCCACAGUUACGGUCCAUGCUGCGUUUGUUUUGUGGACAACCAUGGCAGGUGAUUCCCCAGCUAUAGCACAGCCACAUGCCCAGCUGUCCGGCACGCUGUGCUCCCACUUGACUGAAAAGUACAGAAGCCUGUUACUAGCGAACAAUCCAGCUGCAUUUCUGAAAUAUCAAGUAACCAAACAACUAGUUGUUGAAUCAGCUCUUUGAACCAGCAUGGGAUCAAACCACAGGUCAUUUACUGAGCUGACACCCUGGACUGUUCUGUUAACGUUUCAGUAAUAAAUACCUCAGAGUUUGUAUUUGUAGUUUUGGA